UCGGGAAUUUUGGGCAAUGGGCGAAAGCCUGACCCAGCAACGCCGCGUGAAGGAUGAAAUCCUUCGGGAUGUAAACUUCGCAAGAACGGGAAGAAUAAGUCGGUGCAAAUAUCACCGGCGAUGACGGUACUGUUUGUAAGCUCCGGCUAACUCCGUGCCAGCAGCCGCGGUAAUACGGGGGGAGCAAGCGUUGUUCGGAUUUACUGGGCGUAAAGGGCGCGUAGGCGGCCACCGCAAGUCAGUUGUGAAAUCUCGUCGCUUAACGACGAAACUGCCUUUGAUACUAUCAGUCUUGAAUCCGGUAGAGAUCUGUGGAAUUCCGAGUGUAGCAGUGAAAUGUGUAGAUAUUCGGAAGAACACCAGUGGCGAAGGCAGCAGAUUGGGCCGGUAUUGACGCUCAGGCACGAAAGCAGGGGGAUCAAACAGGAUUAGAGACCCUGGUAGUCCAUGCCCUAAACGAUGUUCACUUGAUGUCUGCCCUCAGGGCAGGUGUCGAAGCUAACGCGAUAAGUGAACCACCUGGGGAGUACGCUCGCAAGGGUGA
rnacentral:rRNA from 1 species